UACAGAGGGGGCAAGCGUUAUUCGGAAUUAUUGGGCGUAAAAGGGCGCGUAGGCGGCCUGGCAAGUGGAAGGUGAAAUCCCUCGGCUUAACCGAGGAACUGCCCUCCAAACUGCUUGGCUUGAGUCCGGGAGAGGUGAGUGGAAUUCCCAGUGUAGCGGUGAAAUGCGUAGAUAUUGGGAGGAACACCAGUGGCGAAGGCGGCUCACUGGACCGGAACUGACGCUGAGGCGCGAAAGCGUGGGGAGCAAACGGG
rnacentral:rRNA from 1 species